UAAUUUCAGGUUGCAAUUAUCCUUGAACGCACACUCACUAUAUUUUAAAACGAUUAAAGUUCGAUAAUAGCAAAAGUAAUCACGAUCUUAACGACAAAAUAUUAAAAAAAAUUCACCUCGAAAGAAUUAUUCAAUUUAACGUUUUUACAAACAAUUAAAAAUAAAUUAUUCAAGUCUGUGAAAAGUGGACUCUUCCUGUUUGGAAAAGUUGUGCGGAAGACGGCGUAUCUACAAGUGUUAUUUACUGUAGCUGACUAUUAACCGCAGUAUCAAUGGAAACUGGCAGCCAACCGUUGAAGGUUAAUUGAUGUGCAGAGGAAGUUGUUUCGAACUCGAGAUGAUGCUACCAUGGCCCUUAGGGAAGAUGCCACUAAAACGCUUCACUAACUUCCAGAAGAUGAUAAAUCACUUGAAGAAUGGUCGAGUUCCUCACUGACGUCAUUGUUGACGUCAAUGGCAGAAAUUACGAGGUGAAAAUUUUUUGAUUUUUGGCGUUGGCUUUUGUUAAAUGAACAAGGUGUGUUGGCAAAAAAAAACUUACCUAACUCUUUGGCCAAUGAAGAAUGUAAACAAUCAUUAAAAAGUAAUUCUGGAUCUACAAAAAAACAAAUGCUCGCACUCAACUAUAACUUCAACCAAGGAUGCCCGCCGAAUUAACAACUGCUAAGUACGCGAAGGAAUUAAAAAAUGUGUUUGGUAAAAAACAAAGCAGACGGAGUGGUGGUAAAUAAAUGAGUUUGGUAGCGCGAGGAAGAGCUUCUUCAACGAGAACGAAAAUUAGCACUGAUGAUGCAUGGUGUUCGCGACCUAUCGAUUGCUUCUAAACUGCCAUUCAUAAAAUUAUAAAAAACUAA